rnacentral:rRNA from 1 species
CCAAGGAGUCUAACAUGUGCGCGAGUCAUUGGGACUUUUUACAAAGCCUAAAGGCGCAAUGAAAGUGAAGAUCAUCCUUAGCGUUGAUCGAGGGAGGAUGGUUCGCGUACGAUGCGAGCUCGCACUCCCGGGGCGUCUCGUGCUCAUUGCGAGCAGAGGCGCACCUAGAGCGUACACGUUGGGACCCGAAAGAUGGUGAACUAUGCCUGGUCAGGACGAAGUCAGGGGAAACCCUGAUGGAGGUCCGUAGCGAUUCUGACGUGCAAAUCGAUCGUCGGAACUGGGUAUAGGGGCGAAAGACUAAUCGAACCAUC